rnacentral:rRNA from 1 species
AUUGAACGCUGGCGGCAGGCCUAACACAUGCAAGUCGAGCGGAUGAGGGAAGCUUGCUUCCCGAUUUAGCGGCGGACGGGUGAGUAAUGCCUAGGAAUCUGCCUAUUAGUGGGGGAUAACGUUCCGAAAGGAACGCUAAUACCGCAUACGUCCUACGGGAGAAAGUGGGGGAUCUUCGGACCUCACGCUAAUAGAUGAGCAUAGGUCGGAUUAGCUAGUUGGUGAGGUAAAGGCUCACAAAGGCGACGAUCCGUAGCUGGUCUGAGAGGAUGAUCAGCCACACUGGAACUGAGACACGGUUCAGACUCCUACGGGAGGCAGCAGUGGGGAAUAUUGGACAAUGGGCGAAAGCCUGAUCCAGCCAUGCCGCGUGUGUGAAGAAGGUCUUCGGAUUGUAAAGCACUUUAAGUUGGGAGGAAGAGUUGUAAGCUAAUAUCUUGCAGCUUUGACGUUACCAACAGAAUAAGCACCGGCUAACUCUGUGCCAGCAGCCGCCGCAGUAA